rnacentral:lncRNA from 1 species
AGCAGGAACCCUAAAUGACAGAUGGUUUCCUGUCCACUUAGCAGGCUGAGGGUCCGCCUGGAAGAUGCCAAGGCGAUGGGCUUGUUGCCGUCCUGAGUUUGCAGGCCGAGGCUCACGCUGCUCUGCCAACACUCACAUACAGUAUCCGCAUCAAAGGCUCAGUGUGGUCAGUGAAGGAGAAAGCCCCUGUGCGGGCACCUGCAGAGGCGCCCACCCUGCCCAGGGGCCUCUGGGGACGCAGCGACUCACUGACCAGUGAGCGCAGAUGGGCGACUGCACCUCUCUGCUUCAGCUCUUCAUGGCCAGAUGGGAGGACAAUCCCCACCUUGCAAGGUGGCAUCAAGGACUGAGAAAGAACCAGCACCAGGCCUGGCCCCAUGAGCGCUGCUGGGUCUGGAUCCAGGCGCCGUCCACCUUCCACCUGGCAGCACUAAUGCUUCCUCCCCGGCUGCACUGGCCCUUAUCUGGGGGUCAGGAACUCACGUGCUGAAUAAAGAGCAACUCUUUUCCAGA